CUAUUUGAACCUACAAUAUACAGGUUAUACUUGAUAUUUCAAACGUAAAUUGACCGAAUUACAAAUAUAUUUUCUUUGGAUUGACACUUGUAACUUUUGGACUUUAAUAUAAUUUUUAAGGUCAUUGUUUUUCCUCACUCAGUCAACAAAAAUAGUUGUUUUAGAGUCCAAAUCGUUCUCUCUUGAUAUGAAAUUACUCAGGCGAACUGGAAGAAAAACAUGUGUUGGACCUAAGCACAAAUCAUCACUGCUGACAAGACUUAGUACUUGGAAAUAAUAGAUAAAAUCGAUGUAAUGUAUUCAGAAGCAUUGUAUUUUUCAAGGAAACGUACUCAUAAAUACAUGUACCUUGAAAAUAGUCAAACAAUUAAGAUAUUUGUUAUGGUCGCAUACGUUUAAGCUCAAUGUUGCUUGAUACAAUUUUCCAGAAAUAUGUCAAUUAUUGAUACAUAUUGCACGUAGAGUUUGAUUCAUGUGGAUUAUUUGUCUAUAGUUCAUAAUUCUUGUCCAAAAGUCCAAUUAUUCAUAUUUAAAAAAACAUGCGUUUAUUAUUCAAAUACUGCUAAGAAACUACUUGCCAUACAAAAUUAGAUUUAGAUUUAAAAAAGGAAUGAUUAAUAAAAUCAACUCCCAUCAGUACUUCAGUACUUUGAUUCAAACUUGUAGGGAGACAGGAAUCAGUUUUGAGUGCUUUAUAAUGAUGCCAUUUGAGUUACCCAUUAUGUGUUAAACAGAUUUGGGCUAAAAAGAGAAUAUGUUUGAUGUUUCACUUUUUUCAGUCUUUCCCUUUGCUAUGCUGUUAUUUCUCUAUCUUAACUUACAGCUUUUCAAGCAAAAUUUUUAGACUUAUUGCUUUCUGGAGACAAUGAUAUUUCUUAUGCU